GCUGGGCAUGGUGGCACAUGCCUGUAAUUCCUGAGUCCUGGAAGGCCGAGGCAGGAAGAUGGCAAGUUUGAGACUAGGAAAUUUAGUGACACCCUGUCUCAA
rnacentral:sRNA from 1 species